rnacentral:misc_RNA from 1 species
GAUGAAGAACGAAGCGAAAUGCGAUAAGUAAUGUGAAUUGCAGAAUUCAGUGAAUCAUCGAAUCUUUGAACGCAUCUUGCGCUCCUUGGUAUUCUGAGGAGCAUGCCUGUUUGAGUGUCAUUAAAUUCUCAACUACACUGACUUUGAAUUGGUGUGGCUUGGAUUUGGGGGGAAAAUUGUUGUGGGCUUUUUGUAUAGUCUGCUCCCCUGAAAUUGAUUAGCGGUACCUUUGUGGAACUGUCUACAGGUGUGAUAAUUAUCUACAUCUUAGACAUCUGCUGGAAUGCUGCUUUCUAAACCUUACUUGUAUUGACAAUCUUGACCUCAAAUCAGGUAGGACUACCCGCUGAACUUAAGCAUAUCAAUAAGCGGAGGA